ACAAAGGCUCUUUUAAGAGCCACUCCAUACACAAAGAAAGAGCUGU
rfam:Colius striatus contig24200, whole genome shotgun sequence.